GGAUGGGGCGGCAUACCAUGCAGUCGAACGAUGAACCACUUCGGUGGGGAUUAGUGGCGAACGGGUGAGUAACACGUGGGCAAUCUGCCCUGCACUCUGGGACAAGCCCUGGAAACGGGGUCUAAUACCGGAUACUGACCCGCUUGGGCAUCCAAGCGGUUCGAAAGCUCCGGCGGUGCAGGAUGAGCCCGCGGCCUAUCAGCUUGUUGGUGAGGUAAUGGCUCACCAAGGCGACGACGGGUAGCCGGCCUGAGAGGGCGACCGGCCACACUGGGACUGAGACACGGCCCAGACUCCUACGGGAGGCAGCAGUGGGGAAUAUUGCACAAUGGGCGAAAGCCUGAUGCAGCGACGCCGCGUGAGGGAUGACGGCCUUCGGGUUGUAAACCUCUUUCAGCAGGGAAGAAGCGAAAGUGACGGUACCUGCAGAAGAAGCGCCGGCUAACUACGUGCCAGCAGCCGCGGUAAUACGUAGGGCGCGAGCGUUGUCCGGAAUUAUUGGGCGUAAAGAGCUCGUAGGCGGCUUGUCACGUCGGUUGUGAAAGCCCGGGGCUUAACCCCGGGUCUGCAGUCAAUACGGUCAGGCUAGAUUUCGGUAGGGGAGAUCGCA
rnacentral:rRNA from 2 species